GACGAACGCUGGCGGCGUGCUUAACACAUGCAAGUCGAACGGAAAGGCCCUGCUUUUGUGGGGUGCUCGAGUGGCGAACGGGUGAGUAACACGUGAGUAACCUGCCCUUGACUUUGGGAUAACUUCAGGAAACUGGGGCUACUACCGGAUAGGAGCUCCUGCUGCAUGGAGGGGGUUGGAAAGUUUCGGCGGUCGGGGAUGGACUCGCGGCUUAUCAGCUUGUUGGUGGGGUAGUGGCUUACCAAGGCUUUGACGGGUAGCCGGCCUGAGAGGGUGACCGGCGACCUUGGGACUGAGAGACGGCCCAGACUCCUACGGGAGGCAGCAGUGGGGAAUAUUGCACAAUGGGCGCAAGCCUGAUGCAGCAACGCCGCGUGCGGGAUGACGGCCUUCGGGUUGUAAACCGCUUUCGCCUGUGACGAAGCGGGAGUGACGGUAAUGGGUAAAGAAGCACCGGCUAACUACGUG
rnacentral:rRNA from 1 species